GGGGCCACAGGAUGUCCUAGGUCCAUUCUGUGCGCCAGAGGACAAAAGGACUAGAGAUAAUGCACUGAACAGCUAGUGGGCCACUGGAGUCCUUGAUGUUCCCCAUUGCUUCAGUCAAGAUGUGACUUUGAACGUGGGUCAGGUCAUGCUCCACCUCAGGGCCACCAAACUGGGGCAGCAGCUUCUGCACGUGUGUAUCUUGGAGGCACUCUUUAAACUACCAAAGUGUCUUUAAGGGGUCACAUGACCUUCUACCUCUCAGUGUGCAAUCAAGCAAAGGUGAGUAACUGGAAUCUUACUCACAAAUGAUCUGACUAUAGGUGCUGCAAAAGGACCCCGAGUGUUUCAUGUACCUUAAUUUUAACUGUGUCUUUAGAUGUACUGUAUUGAGGUAGCUGUUAUGCUAUAGAUUUGGGGAAACAGUAGUGGCUAAAUUAAUAGUUUACUUAUCACACAUUAAACAAAGGAUUCUACUUGUGCCUUGCUUGAGCUUCUGCCCAGAUCUUAGGACGCUGCCCUGUCUCUGGAACCCCCACACCAUCCUUGAGGCUGUUUGUUUCCUUAGAGUUUCAGCUGGCCCAGUGUAAGAAACGCAUCCAAAAUGCAGAAAGAUAUAUUCUUGUUCUUCCAACGAGGAGUCCCUUUAAAAUAGCUCUCGUAGGCAUUCCUGAACGCACUGUGCACCAAGGUUCUCCUGGACUUCACAUUCUUUUUGAUAUAUGUACACCUGCUGUUCAGGGAGAUGCCUGGAGUGCAUCUCCUCUGAGAGCUGUAAGGCCACAGGGAAACUCGAGAGCAAGGUGGGAAGAAAGCAGCAGCUCACUGGCACUCUGAAGAUUCCCAAACUGUCCCUGCCUCCCGCUCGUGCUGGUACAUUCGCUUGCAUCCUGAUUUUGAAGAUGCUGGGCUUCCCCAAGACGGC